GAUGAACGCUGGCGGCGUGCCUAAUACAUGCAAGUCGAGCGAACAGAUGAGGAGCUUGCUCCUCUGACGUUAGCGGCGGACGGGUGAGUAACACGUGGAUAACCUCCCUAUAAGACUGGGAUAACUUCGGGAACCCGGAGCUAAUACCGGAUAAUAUAUUGAACCGCAUGGUUCAUUAGUGAAAGACGGUUUUGCUGUAACUUAUAGAUGGAUCCGCGCCGCAUUAGCUAGUUGGUAAGGUAACGGCUUACCAAGGCAACGAUGCGUAGCCGACCUGAGAGGGUGAUCGGCCACACUGGAACUGAGACACGGUCCAGACUCCUACGGGAGGCAGCAGUAGGGAAUCUUCCGCAAUGGGCGAAAGCCUGACGGAGCAACGCCGCGUGAGUGAUGAAGGUCUUCGGAUCGUAAAACUCUGUUAUUAGGGAAGAACAAAUGUGUAAGUAACUAUGCACGUCUUGACGGUACCUAAUCAGAAAGCCACGGCUAACUACGUG
rnacentral:rRNA from 1 species